rfam:Oryza nivara chromosome 4, whole genome shotgun sequence.
AACCACACUAUUAAUGAAUGGAUUCACUCGCGAGAUGACGUGGUUGUUUCACUUAGGACGAGGACAUGACAUCCUAUUAUCAGCCAUCGCACGAAAUUAAUAGGAUGUAACAUCCUCAUCUUAGAUGGAACAACCACGUCAUCUCACAGGUGAAUCUAUUCAUCAAUAGUGUGGUU